UACGGACGGGGCUCGCGUUGUUCGGAAUUACUGGGCGUAAAGCGCACGUAGGCGGCCGUGUAAGAUGGGGGUGAAAUCCCCGGGCUCAACCCGGGAAUCGCCUUCAUGACUGCAAAGCUCGAGGAUGCGAGAGGUGAAUGGAAUUCCGAGUGUAGAGGUGAAAUUCGUAGAUAUUCGGAAGAACACCAGUGGCGAAGGCGAUUCACUGGCGCAUUUCUGACGCUGAGGUGCGAAAGCGUGGGGAGCAAACAGG
rnacentral:rRNA from 1 species